rnacentral:rRNA from 1 species
AUACGUAGGGGGCGAGCGUUGUCCGGAAUUAUUGGGCGUAAAGGGUACGUAGGCGGUUUUUUAAGUCUGGUGUGAAAUUGGUGGGCUCAACCCACCCAAGCAUUGGAAACUGGAAAACUUGAGUCAUGGAGAGGAAAGUGGAAUUCCUAGUGUAGCGGUGAAGUGCGUAGAUAUUAGGAGGAAUACCGGUGGCGAAGGCGACUUUCUGGACAUGUACUGACGCUGAGGUACGAAAGCGUGGGGAGCAAACAGGAUUAGAUACCCUGGUAGUCCACGCCGUAAACGAUGAGUGCUAGGUGUUGGGGGUCAAACCUCGGUGCCGCAGUUAACACAUUAAGCACUCCGCCUGGGGAGUACGUGCGCAAGCAUGAAACUCAAAUGAAUUGACGGGG